GAACUUAAGCAUAUCAAUAAGGCGAGGAACAGAAACCAACUGGGAUUCCCCUAGUAGUGGCGAAUGAAGCGGGAAAAGCUCAAGUUUGAAAUCCGGCGGGUGACUUCCGGAGUUGUAAGCUGAUGAGGUAUCGACCGACGUGGUCCGGGCCCAAUUUCCUUGGAACAGGAGGUCAUGGAGGGUGAGAACCCCGUCCGUGGCUCGGGUGCCAUCGUCCUUGUGUCGUGUCCUCUAAGAGUCGGGUUGUUUGGGAAUGCAGCUCAAAAUGGGUGGUAAAUUUCAUCUAAAGCUAAAUACUGGCGAGAGACCGAUAGCAAACAAGUAGAGUGAUCGAAAGAUGAAAAGUACUUUGAAAAGGGAGUGAAACAGUACGUGAAAUUGUUGAAAGGGAAGCGUUUGGCAUCAGCCCUUGGCGUCCGUCGAACAUCCAGGCUUCUGCCUGGUGCACUCGUCGGUCGUCGGGCCAGCGUCGGCUCUGCCUGUCGGAGAAAGGUCCGAGGGAUGUGGCUCACCUUCGAGCGUUAUAACCUCGGGCGUCAUGCGAUAUGGUGGGGCCGAGGUCUGCGGACUCUGUCCUAGGACGCUGGCGUAAUGGUUCCAAGCGACCCGUCUUGAAACACGGACCAAGGAGUCUAACAUCUAUGCGAGUGUUUGGGUGUCAAGCCCGUCCGCGCAAUGAAAGUGAAUGCAGGCGGGAGCCGUAAAAGGUGCACCGCCGACCGGUCCGGGGGUUUACCGAAGGAUCCGAGUAAGAGCAUAGCUGUUGGGACCCGAAA
rnacentral:rRNA from 1 species